rnacentral:ncRNA from 1 species
UUAAAAACGUUGAAAGAGAGUAGUAAAUUGCCUAAACGACAUUUCAGGGAUGAAGUACCUAGACUGAAAGUGCUUCUAUGAUCGUAGCAAUUGAAUUCGCUCUGGAGUUGGCACCGGAACAUAGAAAUAUUAAGGUUGCAUCGGUCUUGGACCGUUAUCAAGUUUGAGUGAAUGAAUCAGUUUGGAUUCGUUAAUUAGGGUGGUACCGCGAAGUCUUCGUCCCUUGC